rnacentral:rRNA from 1 species
UGUGGCGGACGGGUGAGUAACACGUGGCCGACCUGCCCGUAAGACGGGGAUAACUUCGGGAAACCGGAGCUAAUACCCGAUAACCCUGAAGACCGCAUGGUCUUUAGUUGAAAGGCGGCUUCGGCUGUCACUUACGGAUGGGCCCGCGGCGCAUUAUCUAGUUGGUGAGGUAACGGCUCACCAAGGCGACAAUGCUUAGCCGACCUGAACUGUUGAUCGGCCACACUGGGACUGAUACACGGCCCAAACUCCUACGGGAGGCAGCAGUAGGGAAUCUUCCGCAAUGGACGAAAGUCUGACGGAGCAACGCCGCGUGAGCGAAGAAGGUCUUCCGAUUGUAAAGCUCUGUUGUUAGGGAAGAACAAGUAUGGUUCGAAUAGGGCCGUACCUUGACGGUACCUAACGAGAAAGCCACGGCUAAUUACGUGCCAGCAGCCGCGGUAAUACCUAGGUGGCAAGCGUUGCCCGGAAUUAUUGGGCGUAUAGCGCGUGCAGGCGGUUCCUUAAGUCUGAUGUGAAAGCUCACGGCUCAACCGUGGAGGGUCAUUGGACACUGGGGGACUUGAGUGCCGAAUAGGAGAGCGGAACUCCACGUGUACCGGUGAAAUGCGUAGAGAUGUGGAGGAACACCAGUGGCGAAGGCUGCCUCUCUGGUCUGUUACUGACUCUGACGAGCGAAAGCGUGGGUAGCAAACAGGCAUUAGAUACCCUGCUAGCCCAUCCCGUUAACCAUGAGUGCUAAGUGUAACAGUGCAUCCACCCUUCUACUGCUGUAGCUAACGCAUUAAGCACCGCGGCUGGGGGAGU